CUAGAAACACGUCCAAUGUCCCACGAUUGAAAUUAAUUUAUUCAAAUUGGAAUAAUCACAAAAUGUCUAAAGCUGACAUUAUUGAAAUACACAAUUCAGCAAACAAUGGUAAAGCAGAAACCCACAGAGACUUAUGGAAUAAACUGGUAAAAGAAACGGACGAUUUGAAACGCGAGGUGGAAGAAUAUAAGCGUUCUAAAACCCCAGUUCUGGAUCCUCCCCCACAUCCUGUUAUUGAUUAUUUAAACGAGACCAUUUUCCCGGUCCUCAACUGCGGCUUAAUAAAAAUGCUUGAAAAAGUGAAGGAGCAAGAAAGCGAAAUUUUUACAGAAGGUGACACUUAUCUCAACAGUCUUAACUUUAUCGCAGAGUAUCUCUGGAACAUGAAUCCUAGACAUCCACAAAGAAAAGAAAAUUGGACACCUAUUACUAACAUUUUUGGAAAUAAUAAAUAGCUAAUUAUUACUACACUGACGAAAGUUUUACAUUCUUGUAAAGACUAAUUUUCGGCAAUUCUUGCAUGUUUGGUUGGAAAGUGACAGUGGGUGUCUCACCCUCUUCCGCAACCCUGUAUUUCCCCGUCUUCGUUUUGUGAUAAAUAAUCUCCAACUUCAAAUCAUGUACAUCCUCCCCUUUAGCUUUGUUUUCUCGCAUCAACACGUCUUUCAUCAAAGGAGGAAACUCCAUAGUCCUUUGUAAAAUCUUAAUGUCGCGCUUUGCUUCAACCUUGCUGGUAUAUUUAUGCUCCUCAUCCUUUGGUAUUAACUGAUAAUCCGCUUUGUAACUGGUGGACUCGAUUGUUAUAGGUUUAGGAUAGGUUAUGCCCCUAAACGUUUUCUCAACCAGGACUCGAACUUUACGUUGGUCCUUAAAACAAGGAUUAGUGCUACGUGGCUGAAAGCAUCACCCUUACAUCCAUCGUUUGCACUUCAGGACAAGCCAAAGGCUCGACCUUCAAGAUUUUGAAAAAACUUGUCUCAGGAUAUCUCUCAAACGUGCUCCUUAUAACUAAUCGGCCCAUACCGAAGUUUUUCAAGUUUCCGAUAAUUUCCCACAAGGUUUUGCCCUUGUAACUGGUGGUUCUGCCUAUGUAUUUGUACGGCAUUUUAUUUUUUCUUUAAACUUUGUGAAAAUAUUUUUUUAGGUUAGGAAAGUGCAAAAGUGAGGUUAGGCCUACAAAUAUGGUGAACAAGUCGUAAGGGCAUACUCUACAAGUUUACAAGACAAUCUACAAGAAAACCACCAUUGAAAAAAUUACCAGGUUAGCAAAAUUUUACUCGGAAUCGGUUUACACAGCUCCAGUGCUACACCAAGACGGAUUUUAAUUGAAGCUGCAUACAGCCCCACAUUACGUUUGACCAAGUUAUUACAGUUGGUUGCAAUAAAAACCGAAAAUGUCUUAGCAAGAUUUAUUAAUUUGAAUACGUCUUGUUUUCUGAACUGGUUGGAAUUGUAUCCUGAUUUUGGUUAUAAUUGAAGAGUGUACGCUUAUCGCAUUUUAUGGUACUGAAAGGAUAAAAUCCGACUUUGAAUUCAUGUUGGACCCAUUUGCUGGUCACGUUCUUUGUUGCUGACUGGAAUUUUCACAUGGGCUUCGAUUGUCAUACAGAGUAUGAAUUUGUUGAAGACCCAGAAUGAAUAUUUGUUCUGGAUGUACAGUAAAAGUGGUGAGAUCCGUCGAGACGAGGCCUGCCUUGACUACAGCGGUCAAGAGGUGAUUCUGUACCCGUGUCACGGCAGCAAGGGCAACCAAUUUUGGGAUUACAACGCCAACAGCAAACUUUUAAGGCAUGGAAGUAGCGAUAAAUGUUUGGCCAUAAACGAAGCGAAAAAUAAACUACUAAUGGAGCCCUGCGACGAAGAGGCCACAAGGCAACACUGGUCGUUGGAGAACUACGACGCCAGCAAAUUGUGAUUGUUUUAGUUUAUGUGUGUGUGGCAAAAAGACGAGUAAAGUAAGUGUACAAAAGUUUUGUAUAAAUGAUCGGUUUUGCAGUUUUAUAACGAAUUGUAGAUUCUAGCAACGACUGUGUCUAUCAAUAUCUACAUAUCCAAUUGUUUUAGCGCUCAAUUGUUACAUUCCUUUACUUAAGACUGUAAAUAACUGGUUACAUAUCCAACAAAUAUCAUUUAAGCAAGCGGCCUGUGUAUAUAAUAACAAUUGAAAAGUACUUAAUUUCAUGGCAAAUUAUUUUCGAAAACGAUCAUGUGAUAAUUAGUCCUUUAAUUAUGUAAAUAAUUAUAUUAUUUGCUCAAUUUCGUUCCCUUUUACGUCAAUUACUCUUCAAAGGGCCAUAAAGCAGCGUUAUGUAAAUAACUCGCAGUAUUUUAUCCUGAUUUUAUUAUUACAUAAUCAUAAUGUACUUAAUAUAGUGUACUAGACAUGUAAAUGUAGGCCAGUGUAUGUAUUUUUAUAACGUGCCUUAUUUGUGUAUAUAAAACGUUAAUAACAUUAUGUUGAAAUCACCCCACAUCAAUUAUGUCUGCGACAGUACUCUGCUGGAGCGAGAUAAACUUAUACCGCUGUCGUAGAACAGAGCGAGACACAAAAUGUGUAUUACUGGUUGCCGGUAAGUUGGCGUUUAUUUUAUUAAAUUUAUUCUAGUAUAACCGGAAGAGUAAUUACUGAAUUUUUAACGUUGGAAAAAUUAUAUUGAAAUCAACAUCCCCCUUUUUUUAAGAAAAUACUCAGUUAAGCGAGAUCAACUUAUAGGUGUGUUGAAAGCUAAGGUGUGACACUGGUGUACUACUGGUUGCCUAUAAUUCUAUGUUUCGUGACGAUGUAAUGUAAUGUCAUCAACUGUCAAUUGUUUUUAAAAAUUUAAUUUAAAUCAAUUUAAUUUAAAAUAAAGCUAGCCCCAAUAAUAUUUUUCAUUAAAAAAUUAAAAUUCGGUCCUGUACAUCAUCGACACACGAUUAACUGUGAUUUUCAGAUUGGUAGUAUGACAAAUUUUGGUGCGAAAAUUAGUUGUAGCGUAUUUUAAUUAUGUUUUAUUAGCUAUAAACUUGUCCAAAAUAGCUUAAAAGGUGACAAAUAUGUUUGACUACAAAUUGACGAAUUAAUUUUCACACAACUGGUAAGUUUUAUCUAAAUACACAAUAACCGGCCCUCGUAUACGAUUUUAAACCACCCUCGUAUACAAUGAUUUCGUGUUGGCGCGCUUAAUUUCCACUAAAUACGUCACGAAAGUGACCAGGUUAUUGAUUUUCUCGAACCCCAAAUACGGGGGCAGUUUUAAAAAUGCUUGAAAUAUUAACUUUGUGGUGAAAAAGUGUCUUGCAGGACAAUUUUUCGAGUCUCAACACCCAGUGUGGCCACGCGUUAGAGGGCUGUUUGAAAUAAAUAUAAUUUUCGAUUUUUAAAAUGCAUUUAAUUUAAUGGCGGGAACAAUAAUUUUUGGGGCGCCCUCAUAUAAUGUGUUUUCAAAGUUGGUAGACUUGGUUUCCACUAAAACGUCACAAACGUCACGCGAUCGAUUUUCUGCUACGGGGGCGUUCUAAAAGUUAUUUAAAUUCUGGCUUUGGGGUAAAUAAAUGGUUUGCAGGACAUUUUUUAUAUUCUCAACCCCUUUGUUACACGCAGUGUGUCCACGUGUUAAAGGGCUGCUUGAAAAAAAUGUAAUUUUCUAUUUUUAAAAUGAAUAAAUUUAGUGUGCGGGCGAUGAAAUUUUUGAGGCGCCCUCGUAAACGGUGCAAAUUUGUCCGAACACGUGUACUUUUUUUGACAAGUACGUCAACUGUUGCGUGAGAGCGGCAGUUUUCGGGCGGCGGCCGGAGCGGUCGGACGUGUGUCUGUGCGUGCGUCUUGUUCGUUAAAUUAUUAAAUAAAUUAUUAAACCGCGACCGCGACGCGAAUUAAUUAAAGUGGUGCUGUGCUGUGCUGUGUUGUGCUGCGAAAUUUUAAGGAUAUUUUGUACAAAGGACCGUUUAACCGCAAAAAUUUUUAUCACAUGUGUUACUUCCACCUUCAAGGGUUGCCCAACACGAAUGCAAAGAUUGCAUUAAACAGUCGUUCAUUGCAAUUUCCACUUGGAGUUAUGAAUUUUGAGAGCUCAAAAGCUGGUGCCUGUGUUGAAUUGCUUUACAAACUGUUGCGGCCUGCGGGAUUCGGAGGAUUUCAAAGGCGUUCUUCGUCUGGUUCUUCAGAAAUUAUUUUUUAACUGACAAUAAUUAUCAUUAAACGUUGUUAUAUUUGUGUGAUUGAUUAUGUUUUUUUUAAUAAACGCUAAGGAAAUGUGUCUUUUAUUGGGGGGCAAAUACAAGUUCAAUAAAUUAUAGGCAUUUUUGAGCUAAAAAAAAUAAAUAGAAGAAAAAGGUAAGUGGAAAAAUAAUGUACAAUUACAGUGUUUAAAAAAAUCGCGCUAAAUCAAAUUAUUUUAAAUCGGUUUUUCCGCGCUAAACUAGAUUUAAAAGGUUUGUGAAUACGUGUUGUCAAUCAUUAUGAAAUUAAAAAUCGUACUAAACCGGUAAUUUAAAAAAUGGCGCGGACACGUGCACUUAAACGGUAAAUAAAUUUAAAAAAUGGCGCGGACAGGUGCUAAUUGGUAAAUAAAUUUAAAAAAAAUGGCGCGGACACGUGCUAAUUGGUAAAUAAAUUUAAAAAAAAAAUGGCGCGGACAUGUGCACUUGAACGGUAAAUAAAUUAAAAAAAAUCGUGCGGACACGUGCACUAAAUCGGUAUAUAAAAAAAAUGGCGCGGACACGUGCUAAUAGGUAAAUAAAUUUAAAAAAAAAUGGCGCGGACAUGUGCACUUGAACGGUAAAUAAAUUAAAAAAAAUCGCGCGGACACGUGCACUAAAUCGGUAAAUAAAAAAAAUGGCGCGGACACGUGCUAAUAGGUAAAUAAAUUUAAAAAAAAAUGGCGCGGACAUGUGCACUUGAACGGUAAAUAAAUUAAAAAAAAUCGUGCGGACACGUGCACUAAAUCGGUAUAUAAAAAAAUGGCGCGGACACGUGCACUUAAACGGUAAAUAAAUUAAAAAAAUCGCGCGGACACGUGCACUUAAUCGGUAAAUAAAAAAAAAUGGCGCGGACACGUGCACUAAAUCGGUAAAUAAAUUUAAAAAAUCGCGCGGACACGUGCACUAAAUCGGUAAAUAAAAAAAAUGGCGCGGACAGGUGCUAAUUGGUAAAUAAAUUUAAAAAAAAUGGCGCGGACAUGUGCACUUGAACGGUAAAUAAAUUAAAAAAAAUCGUGCGGACACGUGCACUAAAUCGGUAUAUAAAAAAAAUGGCGCGGACACGUGCUAAUAGGUAAAUAAAUUUAAAAAAAAAUGGCGCGGACAUGUGCACUUGAACGGUAAAUAAAUUAAAAAAAAUCGCGCGGACACGUGCACUAAAUCGGUAAAUAAAAAAAAUGGCGCGGACACGUGCUAAUAGGUAAAUAAAUUUAAAAAAAAAUGGCGCGGACAUGUGCACUUGAACGGUAAAUAAAUUAAAAAAAAUCGCGCGGACACGUGCACUAAAUCGGUAAAUAAAAAAAAUGGCGCGGACAUGUGCACUUGAACGGUAAAUAAAUUAAAAAAAAUCGUGCGGACACGUGCACUAAAUCGGUAUAUAAAAAAAAUGGCGCGGACACGUGCUAAUAGGUAAAUAAAUUUAAAAAAAAAUGGCGCGGACAUGUGCACUUGAACGGUAAAUAAAUUAAAAAAAAUCGCGCGGACACGUGCACUAAAUCGGUAAAUAAAAAAAAUGGCGCGGACACGUGCUAAUAGGUAAAUAAAUUUAAAAAAAAAUGGCGCGGACAUGUGCACUUGAACGGUAAAUAAAUUAAAAAAAAUCGCGCGGACACGUGCACUAAAUCGGUAAAUAAAAAAAAUGGCGCGGACACGUGCUAAUAGGUAAAUAAAUUUAAAAAAAAAUGGCGCGGACAUGUGCACUUGAACGGUAAAUAAAUUAAAAAAAAUCGUGCGGACACGUGCACUAAAUCGGUAUAUAAAAAAAAUGGCGCGGACACGUGCUAAUAGGUAAAUAAAUUUAAAAAAAAAUGGCGCGGACAUGUGCACUUGAACGGUAAAUAAAUUAAAAAAAAUCGCGCGGACACGUGCACUAAAUCGGUAAAUAAAAAAAAUGGCGCGGACAUGUGCACUUGAACGGUAAAUAAAUUAAAAAAAAUCGUGCGGACACGUGCACUAAAUCGGUAAAUAAAAAAAAUGGCGCGGACAUGUGCACUUGAACGGUAAAUAAAUUAAAAAAAAUCGUGCGGACACGUGCACUAAAUCGGUAUAUAAAAAAAAUGGCGCGGACACGUGCUAAUAGGUAAAUAAAUUUAAAAAAAAAUGGCGCGGACAUGUGCACUUGAACGGUAAAUAAAUUAAAAAAAAUCGCGCGGACACGUGCACUAAAUCGGUAAAUAAAAAAAAUGGCGCGGACACGUGCUAAUAGGUAAAUAAAUUUAAAAAAAAAUGGCGCGGACAUGUGCACUUGAACGGUAAAUAAAUUAAAAAAAAUCGUGCGGACACGUGCACUAAAUCGGUAUAUAAAAAAAAUGGCGCGGACACGUGCUAAUAGGUAAAUAAAUUUAAAAAAAAAUGGCGCGGACAUGUGCACUUGAACGGUAAAUAAAUUAAAAAAAAUCGCGCGGACACGUGCACUAAAUCGGUAAAUAAAAAAAAUGGCGCGGACACGUGCUAAUAGGUAAAUAAAUUUAAAAAAAAAUGGCGCGGACAUGUGCACUUGAACGGUAAAUAAAUUAAAAAAAAUCGUGCGGACACGUGCACUAAAUCGGUAUAUAAAAAAAUGGCGCGGACACGUGCACUUAAACGGUAAAUAAAUUAAAAAAAUCGCGCGGACACGUGCACUUAAUCGGUAAAUAAAAAAAAAUGGCGCGGACACGUGCACUUAAUCGGUAAAUAAAUUAAAAAAAUCGCGCGGACACGUGCACUAAAUCGGUAAAUAAAUUUAAAAAAUCGCGCGGACACGUGCACUAAAUCGGUAAAUAAAAAAAAUGGCGCGGACACGUGCUAAUUGGUAAAUAAAUUUAAAAAAAAUGGCGCGGACACGUGCUAAUUGGUAAAUAAAUUUAAAAAAAAAAUGGCGCGGACAUGUGCACUUGAACGGUAAAUAAAUUAAAAAAAAUCGUGCGGACACGUGCACUAAAUCGGUAUAUAAAAAAAAUGGCGCGGACACGUGCUAAUAGGUAAAUAAAUUUAAAAAAAAAUGGCGCGGACAUGUGCACUUGAACGGUAAAUAAAUUAAAAAAAAUCGCGCGGACACGUGCACUAAAUCGGUAAAUAAAAAAAAUGGCGCGGACACGUGCUAAUAGGUAAAUAAAUUUAAAAAAAAAUGGCGCGGACAUGUGCACUUGAACGGUAAAUAAAUUAAAAAAAAUCGCGCGGACACGUGCACUAAAUCGGUAAAUAAAAAAAAUCGUGCGGACACGUGCACUAAAUCGGUAUAUAAAAAAAAUGGCGCGGACACGUGCUAAUAGGUAAAUAAAUUUAAAAAAAAAUGGCGCGGACAUGUGCACUUAAACGGUAAAUAAAUUAAAAAAAUCGCGCGGACACGUGCACUUAAUCGGUAAAUAAAAAAAAAUGGCGCGGACACGUGCACUUAAUCGGUAAAUAAAUUAAAAAAAUCGCGCGGACACGUGCACUAAAUCGGUAAAUAAAUUUAAAAAAUCGCGCGGACACGUGCACUAAAUCGGUAAAUAAAAAAAAUGGCGCGGACACGUGCUAAUUGGUAAAUAAAUUUAAAAAAAAAUGGCGCGGACAUGUGCACUUGAACGGUAAAUAAAUUUAAAAAAAAUCGUGCGGACACGUGCACUAAAUCGGUAUAUAAAAAAAUGGCGCGGACACGUGCACUUAAACGGUAAAUAAAUUAAAAAAAUCGCGCGGACACGUGCACUUAAUCGGUAAAUAAAAAAAAAUGGCGCGGACACGUGCACUUAAUCGGUAAAUAAAUUAAAAAAAUCGCGCGGACACGUGCACUAAAUCGGUAAAUAAAAAAAAUGGCGCGGACACGUGCUAAUUGGUAAAUAAAUUUAAAAAAAAAUGGCGCGGACAUGUGCACUUGAACGGUAAAUAAAUUUAAAAAAAAUCGUGCGGACACGUGCACUAAAUCGGUAUAUAAAAAAAUGGCGCGGACACGUGCACUUAAACGGUAAAUAAAUUAAAAAAAUCGCGCGGACACGUGCACUUAAUCGGUAAAUAAAAAAAAAUGGCGCGGACACGUGCACUUAAUCGGUAAAUAAAUUAAAAAAAUCGCGCGGACACGUGCACUUAAUCGGUAAAUAAAAAAAAAUGGCGCGGACACGUGCACUUAAUCGGUAAAUAAAUUAAAAAAAUCGCGCGGACACGUGCACUAAAUCGGUAAAUAAAUUUAAAAAAUCGCGCGGACACGUGCACUAAAUCGGUAAAUAAAAAAAAUGGCGCGGACACGUGCUAAUUGGUAAAUAAAUUUAAAAAAAAAUGGCGCGGACAUGUGCACUUGAACGGUAAAUAAAUUUAAAAAAAAUCGUGCGGACACGUGCACUAAAUCGGUAUAUAAAAAAAUGGCGCGGACACGUGCACUUAAACGGUAAAUAAAUUAAAAAAAUCGCGCGGACACGUGCACUUAAUCGGUAAAUAAAAAAAAAUGGCGCGGACACGUGCACUUAAUCGGUAAAUAAAUUAAAAAAAUCGCGCGGACACGUGCACUUAAUCGGUAAAUAAAAAAAAAUGGCGCGGACACGUGCACUUAAUCGGUAAAUAAAUUAAAAAAAUCGCGCGGACACGUGCACUAAAUCGGUAAAUAAAUUUAAAAAAUCGCGCGGACACGUGCACUAAAUCGGUAAAUAAAAAAAAUGGCGCAGACACGUGCUAAUUGGUAAAUAAAUUUAAAAAAAAAUGGCGCGGACAUGUGCACUUGAACGGUAAAUAAAUUAAAAAAAAUCGUGCGGACACGUGCACUAAAUCGGUAUAUAAAAAAAAAUGGCGCGGACACGUGCACUUAAACGGUAAAUAAAUUAAAAAAAUCGCGCGGACACGUGCACUUAAUCGGUAAAUAAAAAAAAAUGGCGCGGACACGUGCACUUAAUCGGUAAAUAAAUUAAAAAAAUCGCGCGGACACGUGCACUAAAUCGGUAAAUAAAAAAAAUGGCGCGGACACGUGCUAAUUGGUAAAUAAAUUUUAAAAAAAUGGCGCGGACAUGUGCACUUGAACGGUAAAUAAAUUAAAAAAAAUCGUGCGGACACGUGCACUAAAUCGGUAUAUAAAAAAAAUGGCGCGGACACGUGCACUUAAACGGUAAAUAAAUUAAAAAAUCGCGCGGACACGUGCACUUAAUCGGUAAAUAAAAAAAAAUGGCGCGGACACGUGCACUUAAUCGGUAAAUAAAUUAAAAAAAUCGCGCGGACACGUGCACUAAAUCGGUAAAUAAAUUUAAAAAAUCGCGCGGACACGUGCACUAAAUCGGUAAAUAAAAAAAAUGGCGCGGACACGUGCUAAUUGGUAAAUAAAUUUAAAAAAAAUGGCGCGGACACGUGCUAAUUGGUAAAUAAAUUAAAAAAAAUGGCGCGGACACGUGCACUUAAUCGGUAAAUAAAUUAAAAAAAUCGCGCGGACACGUGCACUUAAUCGGUAAAUAAAAAAAAUGGCGUGGACACGUGUUACUCGGUAAAUAAAUUUUAAAAAAAUGCCGCGGACACGUGCUGCGGACACGUGCUAAUUGGUAAAUAAAUUUUAAAAAAAUGGCGCGGACACGUGCACUUAAUCGGUAAAUGAAAAAAAAUGGCGCGACACGUGCUAAUUGGUAAAUAAAUUUAAAAAAUCGCGCGGACACGUGCACUAAAUCGGUAAAUAAAAAAAAUGGCGUGGACACGUGUUACUCGGUAAAUAAAUUUUAAAAAAAUGCCGCGGACACGUGCACUUAAUCGGUAAAUAAAUUUAAAAAAUGGCGCGGACACGUGCACUUAAACGGUAAAUAAAUUUAAAAAAUCGCGCGGACACGUGCACUUAAACGGUAAAUAAAUUUAAAAAAUGGCGCGGACACGUGCACUUAAACGGUAAAUAAAUUUAAAAAAUGGCGCGGACACGUGCACUUAAUCGGUAAAUAAAUUAAAAAAAUCGCGCGGACACGUGCACUUAAUCGGUAAAUAAAAAAAAAUGGCGCGGACACGUGCACUUAAUCGGUAAAUAAAUUUAAAAAAUCGCGCGGACACGUGCACUUAAUCGGUAAAUAAAAAAAAUGGCGUGGACACGUGUUACUCGGUAAAUAAAUUUUAAAAAAAUGCCGCGGACACGUGCUGCGGACACGUGCUAAUUGGUAAAUAAAUUUUAAAAAAAUGGCGCGGACACGUGCUGCGGACACGUGCUAAUUGGUAAAUAAAUUUAAAAAAAAUGGCGCGGACACGUGCUAAUCGGUAAAUAAAUUUUAAAAAAAUGGCGCGGACACGUGCUGCGGACACGUGCUAAUUGGUAAAUAAAUUUUAAAAAAAUGGCGCGGACACGUGCACUUAAUCGGUAAAUAAAUUUAAAAAAUCGCGCGGACACGUGCACUUAAUCGGUAUACAAAAAAAAAUGGCGCGGACACGUGCACUUAAACGGUAAAUAAAUUAAAAAAAUCGCGCGGACACGUGCACUUAAUCGGUAAAUAAAUUUAAAAAAUCGCGCGGACACGUGCACUUAAUCGGUAAAUAAAUUUAAAAAAUCGCGCGGACACGUGCACUUAAUCGGUAAAUAAAAAAAAUGGCGCGGACUAAAAAAAAAUGGCGCGGACACGUGCACUUAAUCGGUAAAUAAAUUUAAAAAAUCGCGCGGACACGUGCACUUAAUCGGUAAAUAAAUUUAAAAAAUCGCGCGGACACGUGCACUAAAUCGGUAAAUAAAAAAAAUCGUGCGGACACGUGCACUAAAUCGGUAUAUAAAAAAAAUGGCGCGGACACGUGCUAAUAGGUAAAUAAAUUUAAAAAAAAAUGGCGCGGACAUGUGCACUUAAACGGUAAAUAAAUUAAAAAAAUCGCGCGGACACGUGCACUUAAUCGGUAAAUAAAAAAAAAUGGCGCGGACACGUGCACUUAAUCGGUAAAUAAAUUAAAAAAAUCGCGCGGACACGUGCACUAAAUCGGUAAAUAAAUUUAAAAAAUCGCGCGGACACGUGCACUAAAUCGGUAAAUAAAAAAAAUGGCGCGGACACGUGCUAAUUGGUAAAUAAAUUUAAAAAAAAAUGGCGCGGACAUGUGCACUUGAACGGUAAAUAAAUUUAAAAAAAAUCGUGCGGACACGUGCACUAAAUCGGUAUAUAAAAAAAUGGCGCGGACACGUGCACUUAAACGGUAAAUAAAUUAAAAAAAUCGCGCGGACACGUGCACUUAAUCGGUAAAUAAAAAAAAAUGGCGCGGACACGUGCACUUAAUCGGUAAAUAAAUUAAAAAAAUCGCGCGGACACGUGCACUAAAUCGGUAAAUAAAAAAAAUGGCGCGGACACGUGCUAAUUGGUAAAUAAAUUUAAAAAAAAAUGGCGCGGACAUGUGCACUUGAACGGUAAAUAAAUUUAAAAAAAAUCGUGCGGACACGUGCACUAAAUCGGUAUAUAAAAAAAUGGCGCGGACACGUGCACUUAAACGGUAAAUAAAUUAAAAAAAUCGCGCGGACACGUGCACUUAAUCGGUAAAUAAAAAAAAAUGGCGCGGACACGUGCACUUAAUCGGUAAAUAAAUUAAAAAAAUCGCGCGGACACGUGCACUUAAUCGGUAAAUAAAAAAAAAUGGCGCGGACACGUGCACUUAAUCGGUAAAUAAAUUAAAAAAAUCGCGCGGACACGUGCACUAAAUCGGUAAAUAAAUUUAAAAAAUCGCGCGGACACGUGCACUAAAUCGGUAAAUAAAAAAAAUGGCGCGGACACGUGCUAAUUGGUAAAUAAAUUUAAAAAAAAAUGGCGCGGACAUGUGCACUUGAACGGUAAAUAAAUUUAAAAAAAAUCGUGCGGACACGUGCACUAAAUCGGUAUAUAAAAAAAUGGCGCGGACACGUGCACUUAAACGGUAAAUAAAUUAAAAAAAUCGCGCGGACACGUGCACUUAAUCGGUAAAUAAAAAAAAAUGGCGCGGACACGUGCACUUAAUCGGUAAAUAAAUUAAAAAAAUCGCGCGGACACGUGCACUUAAUCGGUAAAUAAAAAAAAAUGGCGCGGACACGUGCACUUAAUCGGUAAAUAAAUUAAAAAAAUCGCGCGGACACGUGCACUAAAUCGGUAAAUAAAUUUAAAAAAUCGCGCGGACACGUGCACUAAAUCGGUAAAUAAAAAAAAUGGCGCAGACACGUGCUAAUUGGUAAAUAAAUUUAAAAAAAAAUGGCGCGGACAUGUGCACUUGAACGGUAAAUAAAUUAAAAAAAAUCGUGCGGACACGUGCACUAAAUCGGUAUAUAAAAAAAAAUGGCGCGGACACGUGCACUUAAACGGUAAAUAAAUUAAAAAAAUCGCGCGGACACGUGCACUUAAUCGGUAAAUAAAAAAAAAUGGCGCGGACACGUGCACUUAAUCGGUAAAUAAAUUAAAAAAAUCGCGCGGACACGUGCACUAAAUCGGUAAAUAAAAAAAAUGGCGCGGACACGUGCUAAUUGGUAAAUAAAUUUUAAAAAAAUGGCGCGGACAUGUGCACUUGAACGGUAAAUAAAUUAAAAAAAAUCGUGCGGACACGUGCACUAAAUCGGUAUAUAAAAAAAAUGGCGCGGACACGUGCACUUAAACGGUAAAUAAAUUAAAAAAUCGCGCGGACACGUGCACUUAAUCGGUAAAUAAAAAAAAAUGGCGCGGACACGUGCACUUAAUCGGUAAAUAAAUUAAAAAAAUCGCGCGGACACGUGCACUAAAUCGGUAAAUAAAUUUAAAAAAUCGCGCGGACACGUGCACUAAAUCGGUAAAUAAAAAAAAUGGCGCGGACACGUGCUAAUUGGUAAAUAAAUUUAAAAAAAAUGGCGCGGACACGUGCUAAUUGGUAAAUAAAUUAAAAAAAAUGGCGCGGACACGUGCACUUAAUCGGUAAAUAAAUUAAAAAAAUCGCGCGGACACGUGCACUUAAUCGGUAAAUAAAAAAAAUGGCGUGGAC